rnacentral:lncRNA from 1 species
GGAGAAAUGAGAGAAAGAAGUGGAGGAGGCUGUAAGGAGUGCAACUCUGGGGAUGUGCAGGGGACCCCAGGUGACCGGAUGAGAGCUCUGCCUCUCCAGAGCCAUAGAGAUUUUCACCAGAGCCAUAGAGAGGCGUGCUCUCUCUGCUGGGAGAGCAAGGCUGGGAGAAUGUGUAAGCCUGGCGCUCUUCCAGGCCAUUUGACUCCCACCGGAAUGAACCCAGCUGCUUAAGAAUGAAGCCAGCUCAGAAGGAAAGAGAGCCUGAGAGGAAGCACUGCAGAUUCCUGACUUAGAUCCUUUGAGUAACUGGAUCCAGCCCAACCUGAAGCUAGACACCUCCCUGGACUUUCUAAGUGUGUAAGCCAAUAAACGUCUCCUCAUUAUAAGCCAGUCUGAGGCUGAUUUAUAGAAGUUAAGCAUUUUGGCCAAGAUCGCACAUCUAACAAGUGUGGAGUAAUAUUCAGAUCCAUACAACCCUAAUUCCAUAUGUGCUAGGGUUCUUAACCACCAUGCUGUACAGUGGCAAAUAGCAUCUAUGGCUGGACAGAGCUCAGAGCCACAUCCUUUCAUUGCCUGGCCCUCACUGGGAGUCUCUUCCCUUCCAGAAGCAGCUGCCAAUUUGUUUAACAGAGUAAUUGAUCAGGGUACAUCUUGAUUUUCUUUGUUUGUUUGUUUUUGACUCUCAUGGAGGCAAACAUCUCAGCUGUAUUUGAAUUGUUUGUUGCAUCAAAUCAUUAAAUGUCUGGACAUGUCUCGAUCACUUGGUGAAAGGCUGGAGUGGAGGUGAGAGAAAGUGUAAAAAGAAAAUAG